UCUCUCUCCCCCUCCUGCCGCCGCCGGUCCCCUCCCCGCGCCGCCGCCGCCGCUCCGCCCCUCCCACCGCGGGCAGCUGGCGCGCCGCCCGCCCCGCCGGUGCGCUCCUCGGCCCGGCCCGCCUCCGGCCGUGCGACCCCGCCCCGGCCCGGCCCCUGCCCCGCGCCGGCCCGCUCGGUUCACCCCGCGCCGCGCUCAGCCCGCUCCUUCCCCAUCAUCCGCGCCCGGCCGCCCCCUCGCCCGGGCCCCUCUUCUUCCCACCUCGCCCCCCUUCCCUCCCUGGCCCUCUUUGUCCCCGCUGCCUCCGAGCGCUCCUCGCUCCCCUCCUUCCCUCGGCCGCUCCGGCCGAACCCGCCGUCAGCCCCGUGCGCGGUGCGCCCCGCGCUCCUCCGCCGCGACCCCUCGCUGCCCUGGGGCCCAACAUCCCCGCGCCUUCAGCUCCCUUCCUGCUGCUCUUUCCAGCUUUUGCCCCUCUUAGGGGCGGGAGGGGGGUUGCCUGUCCCGAGUCCUUCUCCCCUACCCCGUCUUGUCCCCCGAAUGUCACCCAACCCGCAGCCGGGAGCCGGGACCCCUUGUGCACCUGUGGCCUUUUGCAGCUGGGGUGUUGGGGCCUGACCUUUCGCAGAAACCCGUAUCAGGAGCCUGCCUGAGAGAGUGGUGUGUAUUCAGGAAAGAAUACAACCGCUCUCAUUGUCCGCGACCUGCCUGCCAUCCCCCCCCCCCCUCCCCGCAAAAGCUUUGGUCGCCUCCCCGGAGUCUCCAUUUAACGCUGACAACCCAGCGGCGCUCCCUAAUGGCCCAGCGGGUUGCACAAAUUGGCAGUGAGCUGAGAUGCUAUCAGGACAACACCCCAUUGAGUGAGUUCUUGAAACUCCGAAGUGGAGGCCCUUUCUCCGGCCACUGGGCGCCUGUGGCCUUUCCACCAAUCAGAGCCGGAGCUGGCAGUGGCCACCUGUUGUCUCGCUAGAGAACAUCUCUUUAAGUUUCACUAUUAGUAUUUAACAAUGGGGCAUCAUGCAGGAUCUGGCCACCGGAGAGGAGCAGCCUACUGAUCUGGGAUACCAGAAAAGAAAUUCGGUUUGUUUGUUUGUUUUUCUUCCCAGAUAACUCUUAAAAGGAGCCCAAAGCCUGGGAAGCUGGGGUUUUCUUUGCACACUCACGUGCCUCACCUUCUGCUGGUUCUGUCGUUGCAUCUGGAGCAAUCUGAGCUUGAUUAAGAGGAAGCAGGAAAGGAUAAUGCAAGUUACAGAGGGACUAAACCUGAAGUUGUAAUCAGAACUCUGGGAUCACGAGUGCAAAUUGCCUUCACCCUGGAAGCUCCACCAGGGAUAGUGGCCAGAGUGCUACAGUGAGUCUGGCUCUGGGAAGCCCCGAAACUGAAGGGGGCACCUUCUCUCAGAAGGCUCUCGGGAGCUCCAGUGCCCAUCCAGUGCCACCUCCAGGUCACUGUUGAGGGAAAGUCUUUGUCUUAAACUUUCCUUCCCUGAUAGGAUACAGAUGCCGUUGAGAGGGCUGGUGAUUUAGGAUGGACGGUGAGCAGAGUAGUGUGGAGUUUGGCUGGAGGAAGAAGCCUGGUGAUGAGACUCGGCAAUCCAUCUGUAGUUGAGGCUUUUAGAAUGAGAAACUCGGCGGAAGAGGGAAAGGUCACGUGGCAUCGCUGCCGUCUUGGCAGUUUUACCCAGUCUCCAUGCAUUCAGCAGCAAUUUCUUAAGUGUCUACCAUGUGCCAGCCACUGUGUUAGGCCCUUGUGAAUGAGAAAGAAUCCCCACAUAAAACAUGUGGAAGUCCUCAAACAAGACUCUUCAUGCACACACACACACACACACACACACAAGGGUGCUUCAACAAGUUCACGGAAAAUAGAAUGAAAAGGUAAGUUCAUUCUGGGGCACAAAAAAUUUGACAUAGAUUUUUUUAUAAUACACAUUUCCUAUGAACUUGAAGACCUUCUCAUAGGCAUGGAUUUUUUUAAAAAAAAUUACUUCUCUAUUCAUAAAUAAUAAACUAUAAAUAAAAUAAACUUAUCUAUUAAUU
rnacentral:lncRNA from 1 species